rnacentral:misc_RNA from 1 species
AUGCGUUCUGAAAUAUAUUGACACCCUUCCACCACCUUCUGAACUUGACAAAAAAGGAUUCUUUGUCACUCCCCUUGUAAGAUACAGCCUGUUUGAGCUUCUUGUAGAAGAAUGUAUUGAAAAAGUGAUAAUCACAUAUAGCCUUGUUUGUUGGGGAGAUUUGCAGCCGUAAAUACCUGAUGUAAAAGUUCAUGAUCGGUGAUGUCAAAAAACCUUCAGGGUCUAGGCAGUUUAUAUCCGAGUAACAAAUUUCUACAGAUUCUUGAUCAUCCCUUGAUGGGUAGUAGAUCUUAGCAUCCUUCAUGCAUUCAGCAUGUUUGUUUUCAGGCUCUAUUGUCUCUACAAGUUGGGUUUCAUCCUCAUCUACAAGAACAACUGUCUUCCCUUUCCUAGGCACUGAGCCAUUUGAAGGUAGGACUUGACAAGUAUCCUUCUUCUUGGAAAAAUUGCUGGAAAAGCUUUCCCCAGUGUGGCUGAAGGAAGAAGUAGAAGAAGCUCUGUCCUUUCGAUCACCGUUAUAUGUAACAUGUUUAUCUCCAUUAUGUGAAGGGCUGUUAUUGUAUUGAAAAGGCAAUUUUUUUGAUGAUGAAUGACCUUUUUUUCUCCAACUUUGUGAUAAGGCUCCAUCAGUUCUCGUUUUCUGGCUGUUGCAUCGACUCAAAGUUGACAAUUCUUCAUCAUCAAAUGCUUUGACUAUCUUGCAAUCUGUAUUUUCUUUCGUCUUUCUACUAAAAGUAAUGGCAACUUCAGAUUGUGAAUGUACUUCAGAUAAUCCAUUCUUUUGUUUAAAGCCAUC